UUCACUCUUCACCUUUUCCAGAAAAUGCGUCUGCCCACUCACAUUCCCUUUUUGCGUCUUCUUCCUCGCGAAGAACAACGACCGCUCGUAUCAAUCCGACAAACCUGGAAAAGCUGCAACAAGAAGCAUCGACGGUUCAACAGUACGUCCUCUCCCAUCACCUCUGUCAAAAAAUGGGUCUGGGCCACCGGAAAAAUAUCAAUUUCGGCGUUUCCUUGCUUUAUGCUCCAUCUAUCACUCACCCCCUUCCAAUCAAUCCGAACAGUAGGAUUUUCCAAAAGAUUUUCUUCUCCUUCAUUUCUUUUUAUGUUUCCUCUGAGACUUGAGUUUCCAAGAAUUCAAAUUUUGAAUACUUGGAGCCCAAUUUGGCUAUAAAAGGAACCCAUUUGGUUCUCAUCAAGAUCACCCAGCAACAAUCCAUAAAUCCGAGAAUCAAGCAAAGCCGAGAGAAAAUCCAAGAACCCAUUGUAGAACUGAUAUAUUUACUACAAGCUCUAAAUUUCAAAAUCACUUCAUCUCUUUUUCUCUUUGUUCUCUUGUUCUUAAUCUAUUUCGAUUUCAAGUUCCGAAGUUGAGUUCAAGUUUGGACGUAUACAAAAAAAGCCCUAGUUUGCUGCUCUCAAAAAGAGCACGUUCGGAGUUAGUAUAUGACUCCCCCCUCUGCCCAAAUCAGAGAAGCGACUAACAGCCGCAUAAGCUCAUGUCUAGAUGCCCAUUUUUGCGUCUAUAGUGUCCAACAUUUCCUUCUCUCUUCAAAGUUUUCACGUUCUUUAUAUCAUAUAUGUGUUGUUAUCUUUUGACUAACAUUUUACACAUAAGUAUUUCACUUAUAUUUAUGCUUGCUUU